rnacentral:rRNA from 1 species
CCUACGGGGGGCAGCAGUGAGGAAUAUUGGUCAAUGGGCGGAAGCCUGAAGCAGCAACGCCGCGUGGAGGAUGAAGGUUUUCGGAUUGUAAACUCCUUUUGUUAGAGAAGAGAAUGACGGUAUCUAACGAAUAAGCACCGGCUAACUCCGUGCCAGCAGCCGCGGUAACACGGAGGGUGCAAGCGUUACUCGGAAUCACUGGGCGUAAAGAGCGCGUAGGCGGGAUAGCAAGUCAGAUGUGAAAUCCUAUGGCUUAACCAUAGAACUGCAUUUGAAACUGUUAUUCUAGAGUAUGGGAGAGGUAGGUGGAAUUCUUGGUGUAGGGGUGAAAUCCGUAGAGAUCAAGAGGAAUACUCAUUGCGAAGGCGACCUGCUAGAACAUAACUGACGCUGAUGCGCGAAAGCGUGGGGAGCAAACAGGAUUAGAUACCCUAGUAGUC